GCUCUCGUAGUUCAACGGAUAGAAUGGUGGUUUGCGGAACCAUUGAUACAGGUUCGAUUCCUGUCGAGAGCACCA
rnacentral:tRNA from 1 species